CUCACCAUUAACGCCAUGUGUGAGGAAAAACAGCUGUCAUGCUAUUUAGUGAAUAACUGAGUUGUAUAGUACUUGUCUGUGGGGAGAGACUGGAGUCAAUACCAGAAGGCUAUAUGGAGGAAAUCGGGGGAAGACAAACUGCAGGCAAGUAAGCCUGAACUCACAGAAUGCCAUUACUGUGCUGAGAUGCCGCUGUGCUGAAGGGGACUACAAUUUAUGUUAAUAUAAAAAAAACCACAGAGGUUUGUUUCUUCAGUUUGAAUGAUAACACUGCAUUUCAAUGUACAGUUUGAGUCACUGAACACACCCAGGACAAUAGAGCAUGACCACCCUGCAUCUCCAGGCACUUUCUCUUCUUCUCGUUGGCUCCACCUGAAAUUUCCCUUGCAUACCCAGCAAACUGAUUGGCUCCUCUGCAGUCUUCACAUGCAGCUGCCCAAGAGCUGCCCUUGUUUCAGGCUGGGUUGUAGACUGGCAUGAUUUCAAAGUGUGUGUGCAGCUCCCUGGAAAACAGGUAGUCGCAAGUGCACUGCUGGUCCUUGACCUGGAGCUGCUGAGAGUGAUGUCCUUCAUCAACACUCUGGUCACAGUCAGUCAAGAUGCCACUGGAAAAGGGUCGAUUGCUCCCUCUGGUACCAUCACACACUUUGAGCAUUUUCAGUUCCUCUAACCACUGGGUCAUCCUUUGGAAAGGAGACAUGAUGUUCGAGGAAACUAGUCUUCUGGUGCUGUCACAGAGCUCGCACAACAUUGCAAUCAUCUAUCUGAUACUUUCCUCUAUGCCUACGAAGAAUUCUGUUACAUCCACGUAUCCAUUGGGAAUGAACUUUACUGUCACCUGGAAUUUCAGACUUGACAUACAACCUUCCAGCUCUCAGUGA
rnacentral:lncRNA from 1 species